rnacentral:rRNA from 1 species
UAGGGAAUCUUCCACAAUGGACGAAAGUCUGAUGGAGCAACGCCGCGUGAGUGAAGAAGGGUUUCGGCUCGUAAAACUCUGUUGUUAAAGAAGAACAUAUCUGAGAGUAACUGUUUACCCAGUGACGGUAUUUAACCAGAAAGCCACGGCUAAUUACGUGCCAG